AUACGUAGGUGACAAGCGUUAUCCGGAUUUACUGGGCGUAAAGGGCGUGUAGGCGGUCUUGCAAGUCAGAAGUGAAAUUCCUGAGCUCAACUCGGGCGCUGCUUCUGAAACUGCAGGACUUGAGUGCUGGAGGGGAUAGCGGAAUUCCUAGUGGAGCGGUAAAAUGCGCAGAUAUAAGGAAGAACACCGGUGGCGAAGGCGGCUAUCUGGGCUGUAACUGACGCUGAGGCGCGAAAGCGUGGGGAGCAAACAGGAUUAGAUACCCGGGUAGGCCACGCCGUAAACGAUGAAUACUAGGUGUAGGGGGUAUCGACUCCCUCUGUGCCGCAGUUAACACAAUAAGUAUUCCGCCUGGGGAGUACGGCCGCAAGGUUGAAACUCAAAUGAAUUGGCGGGG
rnacentral:rRNA from 1 species